rnacentral:tRNA from 1 species
UGUAGAGAUAAACUAAUUUAAGUUUUUGGAUUCAUGCUCUGACUAUGGAAUGGUAUUCCUCUCUAUAA